GACGAACGCUGGCGGCGUGCUUAGCACAUGCAAGUCGAACGGAAAGGCCUGUCCUUCCUUGUGUUGGACGGGUACUCGAGUGGCGAACGGGUGAGUAACACGUGAGUGAUCUGCCCCCAACUUGGGUAUAAGCCUGGGAAACUGGGUCUAAUUCCCGAUAGGACUGCAGGGUGGUGCCUGUGGUGGAAAACGAUUUUCUAGUGGUUGGGGAUGAGCUCGCGGCCUAUCAGCUUGUUGGUGGGGUAAUGGCCUACCAAGGCGGCGACGGGUAGCCGGCCUGGGAGGGUGGACGGCCACAUUGGGACUGAGAUACGGCCCAGACUCCUACGGGAGGCAGCAGUGGGGAAUAUUGCACAAUGGGCGGAAGCCUGAUGCAGCGACGCCGCGUGGGGGAUGACGGCCUUCGGGUUGUAAACUCCUUUCGACCGCGAGGAAGCCGCCUGGUUGGAAGGGUGGUGACGGUAGUGGUAGAAGAAGCACCGGCUAACUACGUG
rnacentral:rRNA from 1 species